ACCUCUCCUGUCCAGUAGGGGCCAGUGUGUUGAUUGAGAUUGAGCUGCUGUUCUCAGUGUUUGUUCCCAGCACGAGGCCACGGCCUGUUCUCACAGCCCCGUCUCUCUCUCUCUCUCUCAUUGCUAGGCAGGUUCUGGUUCGCCUAAUCCCCGCUGGAUCCGCUGUACCCCGAGAAUGAAAAGACACGGAUUAGAUAAAACCCUGUGUGUGUACUAACUCCGGAAGCUACAUAACACCGACAAAUGGGAUUUCAAGGUGAUUUCUGGACUUUUUGGAGUGUGACGGUGCUGUCGGUACCGGGGUGACAAACUUCUGAUCCCUGUGGGUCUGAUCCUGGACCGAUGAUGAUCGUCGACCGACUGGAAAUUGGACACAUCAAUCCCGCUCAAACGCAUGAGUGUUCCUGUCAUUGACUCUGGUCCAUCUGAUAUACAGCUUCCUGAGGAGCCAAGUGAAAAAAAAUCACAUUCAAAAUGGAUUUAUAGUUUAUUUGGGGAACCUCAGCUGACUCAGCCGUUUAACCAGCUGCUGUAUCAAACCACACAGGACCAUGAUGACGUUGGUGGUCGCCAGAGGACUUUGAGACAUCUGACAAACACGGAGGUGCACGUUGUCUUGGACGUGCAUCUUUAUUUGGGAAAAAGAAGAAGAAGAAGAAGAAGAAAAAACAGCAGUGUUGCAGAUGUUGGCAUGUCAUUGAGGUUGGCUUGGCACAGACCUGGAAACCCUGAACAUGUAUUUAAUAGUGCAGUUUAGGUCACACUGAACAAGCAGUUCCUUUAGCUUUGUACUGAUGCCAGCUAAAUCCAGACAGAUGCUGCAGCUGAAGUCCUCAACACGCAACGCACAACACAGCUCAUUACUGACUCACCAUUUAAUUCAAACCUACAGCUCUUUAAUUGCUUUAAUUAUUAUGCGCUAGAGUCUAAUUAUUAUUUAAUUUGUAGUGUUCAUCCUUUGUCUUUUUCAUUACAUUUAAAUUUCAAAAGAAGAAAGUGAAUUUAGCAGAGAAGGACUCGUUCCUGCUGUUCAGUUGAGUUCUGGUACUGUUCUGCUUCAUGCUGGCUUCUAAAUGGACACUUGCUGAUUUUGUUCAGCAUGCAGUUGUCAGUGCUGUCAACAAGAAUUGUGCAAGAAAUGUAUUUUCUGGAAGUCAAACUGUAAAAUCACAUUCAUAUUUUACUUCUAUUUUGCACCUUUUGUCCUAAUUUAUGUAAAACUAAUUUAUGCAAAUGAUAUUAUUUUUAA